GACGAAGGAUGCAAGCGUUAUCCGGAUUCAUUGGGUUUAAAGGGAGCGUAGGUGGUCUAAUAAGUCAGUGGUGAAAGCCCAUCGCUCAACGAUGGAACGGCCAUUGAUACUGUUAGACUUGAAUUAUUGGGAAGUAACUAGAAUAUGUAGUGUAGCGGUGAAAUGCUUAGAUAUUACAUGGAAUACCAAUUGCGAAGGCAGGUUACUAUCAAUAUAUUGACGCUGAUGGACGAAAGCGUGGGGAGCGAACAGG
rnacentral:rRNA from 1 species